GCAUUGGUGGUUCGGUGGUAGAAUUCUCAACUUCUAUGUGGGAGACAGGUUCAAUUCCUGGCCAAUGCA
rnacentral:tRNA from 1 species